rnacentral:lncRNA from 1 species
GGACGCCGGGGACACCGGGGACGCCAUGGCGGCCGCCAAGCCCGGCGAGCUCGCAGGCGUCUGCUCCAGCUACCAGGCGGUGAUGCCGCACUUCGUGUGCCUGGCCGACGCGUUCCCGCAGCCCGUGCGGCCCGCCAAGCUGACCAAGGGCAAGGGCCGGCUGCGGCGGGCGCGCCAGUCCCGCUUCAAGACGCAGCCGGUGACCUUCGACGAGAUCCAGGAGGUGGAGGAAGAGGGGGUGUCCCCCAUGGAGGAGGAGAAGGCGAAGAAGUCGUUCCUGCAGAGCCUGGAGUGCCUGCGCCGCAGCACGCAGAGCCUGUCGCUGCAGAGGGAGCAGCUCAGCAGCUGCAAACUGAGGAACAGCCUGGACUCCAGCGACUCCGACUCAGCCCUUGCGAACUCUGCGGUGAGUGUGUGCGGGAGGCGGCCCGUGCCGAGUCUGCCCGGUGUCGCCAGGGUCGCCGCUCCACGCCCUGUAGCCCUCUGAUGGUUUGCAAUUCCGAUUUUGCACACCGCUCCACCGUGCCCCCCAGCGCACACCCGUCACACUCACCCCAACACACUCGCUGAACACUUUUAUAAUCGUUAAACGGGCGGAUGGGACCUGGGGCACAGCGCGGCUGCUACCGCGGCCAGAGGAUUGAUAUUUAUUUUUGCAUUGCAAUUGCUGAAGGCGUUUAUUUAAUGAUCUUUUUACUUGGAUAUGUCUGUGAGGCUCCCGAGUGGAGAUAAAUAAAGUCAAUAUAUUUACACAGUGCAUUUCUCCGGGGUCUUAACUUCUUGAACCUUUGGGGCCCAAACUCCUAAGACGGGGAGGUAAGGGACGCUUCGGCGAGGACGAGGAGCCGGG